rnacentral:lncRNA from 1 species
GUUUAUGAGAUACCAAUUUUGGGCGUCGCGAGGGUGCUAAUACCUUCCUCGCGCGUAACCGACUCCCGAACCCUAAUUUUUCUCUGGCUUUUAACGUAGACCUAAAUUCAGCCUUCCUUUUGUUUUAAAAAAAUGAAUCUAAUAGGUGUCCGAUCACACCUAGGAAAAAGGAUCGGUGGCGACUCCCUCUUUAUUUUAAAAUCGAACUUCAGUUUCCAAACUUUUUCACUAGAUUGCCACAAUUAGCG